rnacentral:lncRNA from 1 species
AUGCGGGAAGCCCGGGCGGGGCCGCCGCCGCCCGCCGCCCCCCGCCCCGCCCCGAGCCGGGACCCCCACCGCCCCACCAGGGGCUCCACCCCUUCCGCCCCCAGCCCCGCUCCGGCUCGCGCGCGCAGGUGGGCGCGGGGGCGGCACUGCGGAGGCGCAGCCUGGCCCGCCCGCCGCCCGCACCCGCCCGGUCCGCAGCCGCGUGCCCGCGCCUCCCGCUCGCGGACCCUUCCCCUCUCGCUUCUGGCCUCAGACACGUUCCCCGCUCCAGCCCCGGGUCCGAGCCUCCUCCGCGGGGAGCGCGCUGCCGCGGCGGCCGGGAGACACCGGCCUGGAGCGCCCCGCACCCCCGCCCGCCAGCCCGCCACGGGGUCCGCGCCCACCCCGCCCGCAGCGCCUCCGAGCCCCAGGCUGGGGGGCCUGCGGGUGGGCGAGUUCGCGCCCCCCCCCCCGCUCCGGGGCCGGCGGCUGGGUGCCCGCACCCGCAGCCCCCCCGGGGAGCCCCCGCGUCCCCGCCCGCCCGCCGGGCUGUGCCGCCCAGGCCGCCCCUGCCCUCCCGCGCCGGCUGUGCCCCGCAGGCGCCGGCCGUGCCCCGGGGAAAGUUUGCGCUCGCGGCCGCCCCGGAGCCCCGCCGGCUCCCCGCCUCCCCUCCCGGGCCGCGCGGCUCGCCGCUCCCGAGCCCCGAGGGGAGGUGCUCGCCGGGCCGAGGCCGCCCUCCUUCUCUGCCUUCCACGCAUCUCCCUACCCGGCAGCCGGGGCGGCGAGCCGUCGCGGGGAGCCUCCUCCUCCCCUCCUGCCCCCGCUCCCGCGCAGCUGGCAGGCGCGCAAGGCCGGUGCGCGUCACCGCCCGGUUCUCCGCGGCCGAGCCGCCCCGCGCGCCCCGCGCGCCCCGGCCCACCGCGCCCCACGCCCCGCGCGCCCCAGGCCCUCGCGCCGCCCCUGCGGACCCGCGCCCCGGGCUCUAGCGCGCUCGCCCUCACCUCUCCCGAGCGCCACAUGUCGUCUCCGGGCUGGAGGGACUGUCCUCUGCAGAGGCGCUCCGGCAGAGGCCGCCAGACUCUCAUCGAAUGCGCCCUCGGGCCGGCUCGGCGGAGGGGGCGGGCUCAGGGCUCCCGGCCCGCGGCCCGGCCUGCGGUGGGAUGGGCGGUCCUCAAGUUUCCCGACGGCCUUGGGGAGCAGGUUCCGGGCCUCCCGGAACCACCGCGGGUUCCCUCCCACGCGGCAGAGGGGGACCGAUGGUGCCCGCACAGCGGCAGCCGGAGGCCGGGUCUCCGAGGUUUUUCCUUGGCUCCAAGCCUAAGCGCCUCCCUAGCCUGCUGUCCCUCCUCAGCCCUCAACACACACCUCUGUGUCCUCAUCUCCUGUGCUCUUUAG